GGGCUGUGGCUCAGUGGCAGAGCCUCUGCUUUGCAUGCAGACGGUGUCCUACCUAAGGCUCAAUCCACAGCAGCAUCU